UACGGAGGGAGCUAGCGUUAUUCGGAAUUACUGGGCGUAAAGCGCACGUAGGCGGCUUUGUAAGUAAGAGGUGAAAGCCCAGAGCUCAACUCUGGAAUUGCCUUUUAGACUGCAUCGCUUGAAUCCAGGAGAGGUGAGUGGAAUUCCGAGUGUAGAGGUGAAAUUCGUAGAUAUUCGGAAGAACACCAGUGGCGAAGGCGACUUACUGGACACAUAUUGACGCUGAGGUGCGAAAGCGUGGGGAGCAAACAGG
rnacentral:rRNA from 1 species